rnacentral:lncRNA from 1 species
CACCAAUUAAUUGUCAACACUCCUGCCCCCUGCAUUUUGGCGGAGGGGGAAAGGAGGGAAGACCAAAGAAAAGAAAGCAAAAAAAUAAAUAAAUAGAGCAAGCCAGAGCCGAUAUCUACAAAGUUUUGCACCAACACUUAAGCAGAUCCGUUUGCAAAGUCCUAGGAAACCAUUUUCAGCAGUUGUGGGGGGGGAGGCGUCGACGUCAUAAUCCCCGGAACGUAAACAUUGUUGCCGAUCGCGCUCGGAGCUUGCGGCUAGGCUAGUUGGGGAAAGGGGGGGCUCGGGUUGGGGGUGUCGGGGACCGCAGCCGUAGGAGGUGUGGGGCCAGAAGGGAGCCUGGGACGCACCGGGCGCUGUUAGCGCCUUGGCAUCGCUGUUUUGUUGUUGGGUCACGAGUGCGCCUCUGCACGCAGGCGCCGCCGCCGCCCGGGAGCUGACUUUUGGAGGGCUGAGUUGCAGGCGGCGGGCGCAUCCCAGAGAUGGCGGGGCAGGGAGGGAGGGAAAGAGAGGAGGGGGUGGGGAGGGAGGUGCAGAUUUGCACGGAUGGCCUCAGCGGGAGGCGCGGAAAUGCUAGCCAAGCCUGCUGGCGUGAAAGCCCCCGGGGCCUGGCACCCCCCAAAACGACCCCCCACCUCUGCCCCUGCCCCCUCUUGCUUGGGUUACGCAGGGCUGUCCCUCUCUUCCUUCACCCACCUUUCCUCAUUACCUAUGCUGGCGACCUAAAUUCAAAGUAUUUUGUAUGUGUGAUUUCUUUUUCUGUUUUGCUUUUCUACUGCAUGCCUGGGGGGAGGGGCCAGCCUGUCCAGACCCUUAUCCAUUUGCGAACCUGCCAUAUGGAGGAGGCAUCUGAGGGGCUCAGAAAGAAAUUACCUCAGCACUGUAUCUGUACAGACUGCAUAACUUUUAAACUCCCGGGGCUGAAAUAAUAAUAUGGAGACACACGCACAGGUACAGGAAAUACAGCCAGUCCACAGCCUUUUCAGACUGCAGCUGACCGGAAGAAAGCCUUUGGUUCAUUCAUUCGGAUAGCCUCGGUAGUACAGCCCUGAAAUAGAAGUUGGGCUUUUAAAGAGAAAGGAAAAAAAGUCUCUACACUCGCUGAGAAGAGAUAAAUCGAUACACAGGAGGGAAUAGAGAAUCGGAUUCAGCGUCUCUAAUGCAGGCAGGCAAAAGGCUUCUGUGCCCUGUGGCUUGAAGUAAAAAAGAAACAAAACUCUUUAACAACUGUCCAGCCUGACUCUUGGAGAACGGCUUAAUGUUCUACUUAGCAUUCUGGGUGGUUUUUUGUUUUUCCAGUGUGCCUCUUCCUGUGUAAGGACUGGAAAGGACCCUGGAAACCACAGGUGAGUGGAAAGGGUUAAUGCGGUGAAGAGAGUCAUAAAAGUUCAAAGAUUCUUUCAAAACUUGCCUCUUGAGGUUGAUGGACAGGCACACUAGCCAAUGGAAAGGGAAAGGCAGGCAUGACUUCAUCAUGCUUACUUGCCACUGGUUGACAAUCUCUGAGGGAGGGACCAGAAGGCCAGCAGUUAACCCUUCAGGGCCUACGGUGCCCUUUGCUGAUCUACUGAGAAAGAUGAAGUACAAACUAAGGAACUUCCAAAGUUCCCCCCACCUUCAGGUGCUAUCUCUGGGGCCAACCCCUGGAGACCGGAUCUCUCCUAUCAAAGGCAUUCCCCCUGAACAGAAGUCCUGGAGUAAAGUUUGGAGCUUUUUAAAGACCAGGAAUCAGCUGACCUGGCUGAGGAGGAGGAGGAGGCCAGGGGAGAAGUUUGAUUCCUUUUUGUGCUGUCAGAACACAGACCCUCGUUGGAGACAUUUCCAUUAAUCUUGUAAAGUGAUCAGUCACUGGAAGGAUUGAAUUGCAUUUCCUGCCCAAAGAUGCAGAGACAGAUGACCUUUGCUGCAGCCCUCAGACCCCUGGUUCACAGCUGGAGAGAGGAUGUGUCAGCAUUUGCCUUGGAGUCUCACCCAGCCCUUUGUUCAGAACCCAAACCCUUUGUGCUCAGCUGCUGCAGGGGAUUUCAUAGUUGUUGAUGCAGGGUUGUUUUUUGGUUUUUUUUUUUUUCUCCCUAACCUCCCACUUCUGAACAACUUCUGAGAAACAAACUCUAUUUGGCAGAAGAUGGUAUCUAAGAGCUGCCCCAGAGGGAGAACCAGAAUAGAUGUGGGGGAAUUUUGAGCGGCCACUUGGCCUUUUGGCUAUAACUAUUGUCCUUUCCUGGGUUUCCGUAUACAGCCAGAAGUCCAACAAAGUCCUAAUACCUCAUAUUGCGGUGGCUCUAUUUCGAAGAAGACAAGACAUCUCAAGUUGAAGGCACUUAGAACUAAAGCAUUUACAUAAAGGGGCAUGGAGAACCUAGACAGUACCUCAAGAUGCUGGACAGUAUGUUUUCUCACCUGUAACAAGGAGGUUGUAAUGUAAAACCCACUGCAGUCACUCGGGUACUACAUGGACCAGUGUUACAAAGAGGCUCAUCCAGUGGAGGCUCAUCCAGUAUUCAAAUGAAGCUGAUGUUGUGGGCACCAGAACUCCAAUGUUUUGCUUUAAGGCUCCGGGAGAGUCAUCUGGGGAGGACGGAAGAGCUGUUUCCUCCCAUCAGAUUCCCUCUAAACCCGACCUCCAUGGACAGAAUAUUCUUGUCUCCUCCAGGCCUCUACACUUGCUGGUCCUUUCUCUGCAUUUCAUCCUGCUAGCUCCAGGAUGCUCCUCCUAGAAUCCACUUGUGUAUCUCAUCCCGUCACCUCCUAACGCUG